rnacentral:rRNA from 1 species
AUUGAACGCUGGCGGCAGGCCUAACACAUGCAAGUCGAGCGGUAGCACAGAGAGCUUGCUCUCGGGUGACGAGCGGCGGGCGGGUGAGUAAUGUCUGGGAAACUGCCUGAUGGAGGGGGAUAACUACUGGAAACGGUAGCUAAUACCGCAUAACGUCGCAAGACCAAAGUGGGGGACCUUCGGGCCUCAUGCCAUCAGAUGUGCCCAGAUGGGAUUAGCUAGUAGGUGGGGUAAUGGCUCACCUAGGCGACGAUCCCUAGCUGGUCUGAGAGGAUGACCAGCCACACUGGAACUGAGACACGGUCCAGACUCCUACGGGAGGCAGCAGUGGGGAAUAUUGCACAAUGGGCGCAAGCCUGAUGCAGCCAUGCCGCGUGUAUGAAGAAGGCCUUCGGGUUGUAAAGUACUUUCAGCGAGGAGGAAGGCGUUAAGGUUGAUAACCUUGGCGAUUGACGUUACUCGCAGAAGAAGCACCGGCUAACUCCGUGCCAGCCGCCGCCGUAA